UACGAAGGGGCUAGCGUUGCUCGGAAUCACUGGGCGUAAAGGGUGCGUAGGCGGGUCUUUAAGUCAGGGUGAAUCCUGGAGCUCAACUCCAGAACUGCCUUGAUACUGAAGAUCUUGAGUCCGGAGAGGUGAGUGGAACUGCGAGUGUAGAGGUGAAAUUCGUAGAUAUUGCAAGAACACCAGUGGCGAAGGCGGCUCACUGGCCCGGUACUGACGCUGAGGCACGAAAGCGUGGGAG
rnacentral:rRNA from 1 species